rnacentral:rRNA from 1 species
UACGAAGGGGGCGAGCGUUGUUCGGAGUUACUGGGCGUAAAGGGCGCGUAGGCGGCGCUCCAAGUUAGGCGUGAAAGCCCCGGGCUCAACCUGGGAAUUGCGCUUAAGACUGGAGUGCUCGAGUGCGGGAGAGGUGAGUGGAAUUCCCAGUGUAGAGGUGAAAUUCGUAGAUAUUGGGAAGAACACCAGUGGCGAAGGCGGCUCACUGGCCCGCAACUGACGCUGAGGCGCGAAAGCGUGGGGAGCAAACAGGAUUAGAUA